rnacentral:miRNA from 1 species
UCAGGGCACAGGUAGCCCAAGACGUUCAUUUAUCUAUUUUUUAAUUAAAAGAAAGAUAAAUGAAUGUCUUGGGCUGCUGUGCCCUGG